rnacentral:rRNA from 1 species
AUACGGAGGGUGCAAGCGUUACUCGGAAUCACUGGGCGUAAAGCGCGCGCAGGCGGCUAUUUAAGUUGGAUGUGAAAGCCUACGGCUCAACCGUAGAACUGCAUCCAAAACUAUUUAGCUAGAGUGUGGGAGAGGAAGAUGGAAUUAGUUGUGUAGGGGUAAAUCCGUAGAGAUAACUAGGAAUACCAAAAGCGAAGGCAAUCUUCUGGAACACUACUGACGCUGAGGCGCGAAAGCGUGGGGAGCAAACGGGAUUAGAAACCCUUGUAGUCC